GUCCUGGAAGUAUAAUAGUGAGUGAGGAAAGUAGCAACUUGGAAUAAAAUCAGGCGUGCCUAAGGUCUUCAGAGGACAGAGGAUGCUCAUUCCCUUUGCCUUCCCUUGGCUGCCUACAUGU